UGGCGUGUUAAAUAUUGAAUAUCACCUUCUGAUCUAAUAUAAAUAUUGUGCAAUGGUGGUAGACAUCUGUAGGAAGAUAGCGAGAAAUACAUUUAGAAAGGGGCAUUGAUCUUGGUUGAAUACAACACAAAGGAAAGAUUUUAGACAUGUCCCUACUUGUUGUACCUCCUUUCAAAAUAUAUUCAAGCACACCAUCUCCCCGGAGGACACAGAAAGAAAAUUUUAAUCCUUUUUAGUCCCGAGGGUAUGUCACAAGACAAAGACAACGUCAGAAAGCAUUAAAUUUAAAAUAGAAUACAAUAAAACAACAGUUAUUAUUUUAA